UACGUAGGGUGCAAGCGUUGUCCGGAAUUAUUGGGCGUAAAGAGCUCGUAGGCGGUCUGUCACGUCGGCUGUGAAAACCCGGGGCUCAACUCCGGGCCUGCAGUCGAUACGGGCAGACUAGAGUUCGGCAGGGGAGACUGGAAUUCCUGGUGUAGCGGUGAAAUGCGCAGAUAUCAGGAGGAACACCGGUGGCGAAGGCGGGUCUCUGGGCCGAAACUGACGCUGAGGAGCGAAAGCGUGGGGAGCAAACAGG
rnacentral:rRNA from 1 species